GAUGAACGCUGGCGGCGUGCCUAAUACAUGCAAGUCGAGCGAAUGGAUUAAGAGCUUGCUCUUAUGAAGUUAGCGGCGGACGGGUGAGUAACACGUGGGUAACCUGCCCAUAAGACUGGAAUAACUCCGGGAAACCGGGGCUAAUACAGGAUAACAUUUUGAACCGCAUGGUUCGAAAUUGAAAGGCGGCUUCGGCUGUCACUUAUGGAUGGACCCGGGUCGCAUUAGCUAGUUGGUGAGGUAACGGCUCACCAAGGCAACGAUGCGUAGCCGACCUGAGAGGGUGAUCGGCCACACUGGGACUGAGACACGGCCCAGACUCCUACGGGAGGCAGCAGUAGGGAAUCUUCCGCAAUGGACGAAAGUCUGACGGAGCAACGCCGCGUGAGUGAUGAAGGCUUUCGGGUCGUAAAACUCUGUUGUUAGGGAAGAACAAGUGCUAGUUGAAUAAGCUGGCACCUUGACGGUACCUAACCAGAAAGCCACGGCUAACUACGUGCCAGCCGCCGCCGUAA
rnacentral:rRNA from 1 species